ACGCUGGCGGCGUGCCUAAUACAUGCAAGUAGAACGCUGAAGAGAGGAGCUUGCUCUUCUUGGAUGAGUUGCGAACGGGUGAGUAACGCGUAGGUAACCUGCCUUGUAGCGGGGGAUAACUAUUGGAAACGAUAGCUAAUACCGCAUAACAAUAGGUGACACAUGUCAUUUAUUUGAAAGGGGCAAUUGCUCCACUACAAGAUGGGCCUGCGUUGUAUUAGCUAGUAGGUGAGGUAACGGCUCACCUAGGCGACGAUACAUAGCCGACCUGAGAGGGUGAUCGGCCACACUGGGACUGAGACACGGCCCAGACUCCUACGGGAGGCAGCAGUAGGGAAUCUUCGGCAAUGGGGGCAACCCUGACCGAGCAACGCCGCGUGAGUGAAGAAGGUUUUCGGAUCGUAAAGCUCUGUUGUAAGUCAAGAACGAGUGUGAGAGUGGAAAGUUCACACUGUGACGGUAGCUUACCAGAAAGGGACGGCUAACUACGUGCCAGCAGCCGCGGUAAUACGUAGGUCCCGAGCGUUGUCCGGAUUUAUUGGGCGUAAAGCGAGCGCAGGCGGUUUGAUAAGUCUGAAGUUAAAGGCUGUGGCUCAACCAUAGUUCGCUUUGGAAACUGUCAAACUUGAGUGCAGAAGGGGAGAGUGGAAUUCCAUGUGUAGCGGUGAAAUGCGUAGAUAUAUGGAGGAACACCGGUGGCGAAAGCGGCUCUCUGGUCUGUAACUGACGCUGAGGCUCGAAAGCGUGGGGAGCGAACAGGAUUAGAUACCCUGGUAGUCCACGCCGUAAACGAUGAGUGCUAGGUGUUGGAUCCUUUCCGGGAUUCAGUGCCACAGCUAACGCAUUAAGCACUCCGCCUGGGGAGUACGACCGCAAGGUUGAAACUCAAAGGAAUUGACGGGGGCCCGCA
rnacentral:rRNA from 1 species